rnacentral:tRNA from 1 species
GGGCGGUUAGCUCAGUCUGGUAGAGCACUACCUCGACAAGGUAGGGGUCACUGGUUCGAACCCAGUACCGCCCA